rnacentral:rRNA from 1 species
UACGUAGGGGGCAAGCGUUGUCCGGAAUCAUUGGGCGUAAAGAGCGCGUAGGCGGCCCUGUAAGUCCGCUGUGAAAGUCAAGGGCUCAACCCUUGGAUGCCGGUGGAUACUGCAGGGCUAGAGUCCGGAAGAGGCGAGUGGAAUUCCCGGUGUAGCGGUGAAAUGCGCAGAUAUCGGGAAGAACACCCGUGGCUAAGGCGGCUCUCUAGUACGGUACUGACGCUGAGACGCGAAAGCGUGGGGAGCGAACAGG